GAUGAACGCUGGCGGCGUGCUUAACACAUGCAAGUCGAACGGGAAACAUUUUAUUGAAGCUUCGGCAGAUUUAGCUUGUUUCUAGUGGCGGACGGGUGAGUAACGCGUGGGUAACCUGCCUUAUACUGGGGGAUAACAGCCAGAAAUGACUGCUAAUACCGCAUAAGCGCACAGAACCGCAUGGUUCAGUGUGAAAAACUCCGGUGGUAUAAGAUGGACCCGCGUUGGAUUAGCUAGUUGGCAGGGCAGCGGCCUACCAAGGCGACGAUCCAUAGCCGGCCUGAGAGGGUGAACGGCCACAUUGGGACUGAGACACGGCCCAGACUCCUACGGGAGGCAGCAGUGGGGAAUAUUGCACAAUGGGGGAAACCCUGAUGCAGCGACGCCGCGUGAAGGAAGAAGUAUCUCGGUAUGUAAACUUCUAUCAGCAGGGAAGAUAAUGACGGUACCUGACUAAGAAGC
rnacentral:rRNA from 1 species